rnacentral:rRNA from 1 species
UACGUAGGGUGCGAGCGUUGUCCGGAAUUAUUGGGCGUAAAGGGCUCGUAGGCGGUUUGUCGCGUCGGGAGUGAAAUCCACUGGCUUAACUGGUGGCUUGCUUUCGAUACGGGCAGACUGGAGGUAUGCAGGGGAGAACGGAAUUCCUGGUGUAGCGGUGAAAUGCGCAGAUAUCAGGAGGAACACCGGUGGCGAAGGCGGUUCUCUGGGCAUGUCCUGACGCUGGAGGAGCGAAAGCGUGGGGAGCGAACAGG